rnacentral:lncRNA from 1 species
AGAUGUAUUAACUAUGUGUCACGACCCAAAUCGAUGGACUGCGACGGGUGCCUGAGUCCUACCUGUCAAACACCCCUAAGCAUGCGUCUAAGAUAUGAGCCUGAAUAACAUCUGCUGAAUUACAAAAAUAACAUACAUGAAAGAAACCUGCCUGCAAGGCAUAUGUACGUAUACAAGCAGAAUAUAGUAGGUGAGCCGGCAAGGCUGCUAUAGACAGCUAUACAUUCAACUGAACGCCGACAAGGCCACAUACAGCCCAACUAGACAUACUGUCUACNNNNNNNNNNNNNNNNNNNNNNNNNAGACCUCUAAUAGAAACAUAACUGUACAAAGACGGGACUGAGCCACAUCAUACCCAUAUACAUAUAUAUAUAUAUAUAUACACACAAACGUAUCGUACCAAAAUCAAAAGUUGCUCCGGAUCAAGUGGAGCACACCAACUCUUGCUGAUCAGGGAUCCUAAGAAGGGGGACCGUCAGCUUGCCUACUUGCACCUGUGGGCAUGAAACGCAGGCCCCGUGAAAUAGGGCAUUAGUACGAAAAAUGUACGGAAUAUGUAAGGCAUGAAAAUUAGUACGUAAAAGACAUAGAUGAAACAUGGAAUAUAGAAACACAUCUUUAAAUCUGAAUAACUUUGUAAAUUCUAAAACAUUUAUAACGUCAUGCACAUGCGUAUAAAUGCCAUGUCAUGCAUAGGUAUGGGUGUAAAUAAUAUCAUCAAGCCACUGAGGGCAUCCCAUCAUAUCGUCUCGGUCACUGUAGGCAACAUCAUCAACAUAUACCAGUUGAUCAGGUGGUGGUGCGUAUAUAACACCGUAACUUUUUUCCAUAUCCCAUAUACAUAUAUUUACAUAUAUACGCGUAUAUAACGCUAUCUGGUCAUGGGUCAAUGCAUAUGUAUCAAUAAGUGAAAUUCAUGAAAAAUAUGUAAUAAUCACAAUAUUCCUUUCGGAUAAACUUUUACAACUGCGUAUUAUUCUGAGGCCCAUGAGCAGAGGAUAAUAAUAAUAAUUCUCAUAGGGAAUCAAGAAUAUAGACACCCCUACUGUUUCUAUGAAUAGAGUAAUUUAUGGAAACUGUGUGUUUGCUUGUUUUUUUAGUAUAAUUUGGACAAUGCCAAAAGAAAGAAGGGAGGGCCUUCACUUACCUGUUCUUGAAACUAUUUGAACAGAAUGAGGCUUCUGCUUCUGUGAACUUGAACGAAAUUGACGCUUGGACUCUAUAAAAUUGGAACGAAAUUCUUUCUGCUUGUCUAGAUUUUGGGAUAUUAUUCCCUUUUGUCCAAAUCAAGGAAGCUAACUACCGAUCCUUCAUGUUUUCUUAGAAUAAAUUGAACAAAAUCUCCUACUAACCCAUCUACUGUUGUACUUGUAAUGGAAGGGAAAACGAGACUUUAUUUUAAAAUCAGAAAGAAACGUUCUUGGUUUCAAGUCUUAUUUAAAACUUAUGGAUAAGACUUUACAAGUCUUAUUUAAGAUUAUCUUUAACUUACACGUUCUUGUCUUUG